AUGGCAUUGCAAGGUUGGUACAGUGAGGCUGGGGCUGCCUUUAGCCCUGUGUGCCUCCCUUCAGAGCUGCCUACCAGGAGCUUUCUGAGACCCAGAUACCAAGGCUGUUGGAAUGCAGGAUAAAAUUUUUUUCUUCAGCAAAUAUUUACAUUUAUAAAAGUACCAAGGAAAAUAAACCUUGAAUAUCAGAUAGUGUUAAGGGGACAAGCAUACAGAGGCGCCUUGAUCCCACGCCUGAAGGAAACAGUCUUUUGUCCUCCCCUAGCUUAUAAGAAGUAUAGUGAAGCGGUGUCUCUCACUACUGCGUUCACGGGCUGUGCAUUUGUCUCCCCUGAUAUGUGGCAAUUGAAUCUCACACCCAGAGUGCAGCAUUAUGCUGACGCAUUAAAGCUAUCUGGUUGGGUAACACAGUGCCACAAAAGGACAUCACAGAAAGGAGAUUAACAAGUCGUACACUAGCCUAGACUGUGACAGGCGUCAUAGCUGCAAAACAUCCUCUUAUUCUGCUUAUGGAGACUGGGGAUCCCUGCAUCGGACCAUGACCAGAUGGCUUACAUCCCAACCAGCAUCAACAGUUCUUUAUUCUCCAGUGUUGCUGUCUAUGCUCAGUCGUUAUUCCUUUUU
rnacentral:lncRNA from 1 species